UACGUAGGGGGCUAGCGUUGCUCGGAAUUACUGGGCGUAAAGGGCGCGUAGGCGGCACUGUUAGUCAGGUGUGAAAGUCCUGGGCUCAACCUGGGAACUGCGCUUGAUACGGCAGAGCUAGAGGAUGGAAGAGGCUCGCGGAAUUCCCAGUGUAGAGGUGAAAUUCGUAGAUAUUGGGAGGAACACCGAUGGCGAAGGCGGCGAGCUGGUCCAUUACUGACGCUGAGGCGCGACAGCGUGGGGAGCAAACAGG
rnacentral:rRNA from 1 species